AGAGUUUGAUCCUGGCUCAGGAUGAACGCUAGCUACAGGCUUAACACAUGCAAGUCGAGGGGAAACGAUAGAGAAAGCUUGCUUUUUCUAGGCGUCGACCGGCGCACGGGUGAGUAACGCGUAUCCAACCUGCCCAUCACUUGGGGAUAACCUUGCGAAAGUAAGACUAAUACCCAAUGACGUCUCUAGAAGACAUCUGAAGGAGAUUAAAGAUUUAUCGGUGAUGGAUGGGGAUGCGUCUGAUUAGCUUGUUGGCGGGGUAACGGCCCACCAAGGCGACGAUCAGUAGGGGUUCUGAGAGGAAGGUCCCCCACAUUGGAACUGAGACACGGUCCAAACUCCUACGGGAGGCAGCAGUGAGGAAUAUUGGUCAAUGGGCGAGAGCCUGAACCAGCCAAGUAGCGUGCAGGAUGACGGCCCUAUGGGUUGUAAACUGCUUUUAUAAGGGAAUAAAGUGAGUCUCGUGAGACUUUUUGCAUGUACCUUAUGAAUAAAGGACCGGCUAAUUCCGUGCCAGCAGCCGCGGUAAUACGGAAGGUCCGGGCGUUAUCCGGAUUUAUUGGGUUUAAAGGGAGCGUAGGCCGGAGAUUAAGCGUGUUGUGAAAUGUAGAUGCUCAACAUCUGCACUGCAGCGCGAACUGGUUUCCUUGAGUACGCACAAAGUGGGCGGAAUUCGUGGUGUAGCGGUGAAAUGCUUAGAUAUCACGAAGAACUCCGAUUGCGAAGGCAGCUCACUGGAGCGCAACUGACGCUGAAGCUCGAAAGUGCGGGUAUCGAACAGGAUUAGAUACCCUGGUAGUCCGCACGGUAAACGAUGGAUGCCCGCUGUUGGUCUGAAUAGGUCAGCGGCCAAGCGAAAGCAUUAAGCAUCCCACCUGGGGAGUACGCCGGCAACGGUGAAACUCAAAGGAAUUGACGG
rnacentral:rRNA from 1 species